rnacentral:rRNA from 1 species
UCGCCUGUUUUAUCAAAAACAUCUCUUCUUGAACAAAUGUGACAAGAGGUAGGCCCUGCCCGGUGACCUUCGUGGUUAAACGGCGGUGUAACGCCUUAAAGUAGCAUAAUAAUUCGGCCUUUAAUAGGGGUCUAGUAUGAAUGGGUUGACGUCGGAACAACUUUCUUAUGGGAAACAACUGAAAUUUACAUCCUGGUGAAAAGGCUUGGCUGCAUUUAAAAGACGAGAAGACCCUGUCGAGCUUGUUAACCUUCCUUACGUUCCUGAGGGAGGUAGAUUUGUUGGGGUAACAGCGGAGAAAGAAAACCUCUGUUUAUUUUGAGUAUAGGUCCUACAUUUGUGGAGAAAAGAAAUAGCUACCGCAGGGAUAACAGCGCAAGACCACCUGGAAGGUCAUAUUUAAGGUGGAAUUUGCGACCUCGAUGUUGGAUUAGGGCAUCUCCCAGGCGCAGAAGCUUGGGUACAGGGUCUGUUCGACCUUUAACACCCUACAUGAUCUGAGUUCAAACCGGAGAGCU